AAGAUUUUAACAAAGUGUGACAUGUGUCUUCCCUCAACAUUCGUCGAUAGGAUAUUGACCAAUGGGAAGUGGAGGAAGAAAAUACUAGAAGUUAGAGUUGGAAUUCAUGGUACUUAAUUUUAUUUUAUUAUUGGAUUUGAUUUGUAUAGGUUGUAUUUAAGCUUGAGUUGGAGUUCAUUAUAUUAUUCACAACAGUUGGCUUGUAUUAAACAAUAUUUAUUUUAUGUUUGCAUUAUAUUUAAAUAUUAAAGACUUAUUUAUUUUAA